rnacentral:rRNA from 1 species
GAUGAACGCUGGCGGCGUGCCUAAUACAUGCAAGUCGAGCGAACGGACGAUAAGCUUGCUUUUCUGAUGUUAGCGGCGGACGGGUGAGUAACACGUGGAUCACCUACCUAUCAGUCUGGGAUCACUUCGGGAAACCGGCGCUAAUACCGGAUAAUAUUUUGAACCGCAUGGUUCAAAAGUGAAAGACAGUCUUGCUGUCACUUAUAGCUGGAUCCGCGCUGCAUUAGCUAGUUGGUAAGGUAACGGCUUACCAAGGCAACGAUGCAUAGCCGAACUGAGAGGGGGAUAGGCCACACUAGAACUGGGACACGGUCCAGACGACUACGGGAGGCCGCAGUAGGGAAUCUGACGCAAUGGGCGAAAGCCUGACGGAGCAACGCCGCGUGAGUGAUGAAGGUCUUCGGAUCGUAAAACUCUGUUAUUAGGGAAGAACAUAUGUGUAAGUAACUGUGCACAUCUUGACGGUAACUAAUCAGAAAGCAACGGCUAACUACGUG